rnacentral:rRNA from 1 species
UACGUAGGGUGCGAGCGUUGUCCGGAAUUAUUGGGCGUAAAGAGCUCGUAGGCGGUCUGUCGCGUCGGUCGUGAAAACUUGGGGCUUAACCCUGAGCUUGCGGUCGAUACGGGCAUGACUGGAGUUCGGCAGGGGAGACUGGAAUUCCUGGUGUAGCGGUGAAAUGCGCAGAUAUCAGGAGGAACACCGGUGGCGAAGGCGGGUCUCUGGGCCAAUACUGACGCUGAGGAGCGAAAGCGUGGGGAGCGAACAGG